GACGAACGCUGGCGGCGUGCCUAAUACAUGCAAGUCGAACGAACCGCGACUAGGUGCUUGCACUUGGUCAAGGUGAGUGGCGAACGGGUGAGUAACACGUGGGUAACCUACCUCAUAGUGGGGGAUAACAGUCGGAAACGACUGCUAAUACCGCAUAGGACAUAGGAUCACAUGAUCCAGUGAGGAAAGGUGGCGCAAGCUAUCGCUAAGAGAUGGACCCGCGGUGCAUUAGCUAGUUGGUAGGGUAAAGGCCUACCAAGGCGAUGAUGCAUAGCCGACCUGAGAGGGUGAUCGGCCACAUUGGGACUGAGACACGGCCCAAACUCCUACGGGAGGCAGCAGUAGGGAAUCUUCCGCAAUGGACGCAAGUCUGACGGAGCAACGCCGCGUGAGUGAAGAAGGUCUUCGGAUCGUAAAGCUCUGUUGUUAGAGAAGAACAGCGCAUAGAGUAACUGUUAUGCGUGUGACGGUAUCUAACCAGAAAGCCACGGCUAACUACGUGC
rnacentral:rRNA from 1 species